rnacentral:rRNA from 1 species
AGACGUCUACGAGUUUGAUCCUGCUCAGAACGAACGCUGGCGGCAGGCCUAACACAUGCAAGUCGAACGCCCCGCAAGGGGAGUGGCAGACGGGUGAGUAACGCGUGGGAACCUACCCAGAGGUACGGAAUAACUCAGGGAAACCUGAGCUAAUACCGUAUAAGCCCGAGAGGGGAAAGAUUUAUCGCCUUUGGACGGGCCCGCGUCGGAUUAGCUAGUUGGUGGGGUAACGGCUCACCAAGGCAACGAUCCGUAGCUGGUCUGAGAGGAUGAUCAGCCACACUGGGACUGAGACACGGCCCAGACUCCUACGGGAGGCAGCAGUGGGGAAUAUUGGACAAUGGGCGCAAGCCUGAUCCAGCCAUGCCGCGUGAGUGACGAAGGCCUUAGGGUUGUAAAGCUCUUUCGGCGGGGAAGAUAAUGACGGUACCCGCAGAAGAAGCCCCGGCUAACUUCGUG